ACGGAAGGCAGCAGUGGGGGAUAUUGGUCAAUGGGGGCAACCCUGAACCAGCGACGCCGCGUGAGUGAAGAAGUAUUUCGGUAUGUAAAGCUCUAUCAGCAGGGAGGAAAAAAUCAAAAUUGACAGUACCUGACUAAGAAGCCCCGGCUAACUACGUGCCAGCAGCCGCGGUAAUACGUAGGGGGCAAGCGUUAUCCGGAUUUACUGGGUGUAAAGGGAGUGUAGGCGGCGAAGCAAGUCAGAUGUGAAAGCCCGGGGCUCAACUCCGGGACUGCAUUUGAAACUGUUUUGCUAGAGUAUCGGAGAGGUCAGUGGAAUUCCUAGUGUAGCGGUGAAAUGCGUAGAUAUUAGGAAGAACACCGGUGGCGAAGGCGGCUGGCUGGACGAUAACUGACGCUGAGGCUCGAAAGCGUGGGGAGCAAACAGGAUUAGAUACCCUGGUA
rnacentral:rRNA from 1 species